rnacentral:rRNA from 1 species
CGAACGCUGGCGGCGUGGAUAAGACAUGCAAGUCGAACGAGAGAAUUGCUAGCUUGCUAAUAAUUCUCUAGUGGCGCACGGGUGAGUAACACGUGAGUAACCUGCCCCCGAGAGCGGGAUAGCCCUGGGAAACUGGGAUUAAUACCGCAUAGUAUCGAAAGAUUAAAGCAGCAAUGCGCUUGGGGAUGGGCUCGCGGCCUAUUAGUUAGUUGGUGAGGUAACGGCUCACCAAGGCGAUGACGGGUAGCCGGUCUGAGAGGAUGUCCGGCCACACUGGAACUGAGACACGGUCCAGACACCUACGGGUGGCAGCAGUCGAGAAUCAUUCACAAUGGGGGAAACCCUGAUGGUGUGACGCCGCGUGGGGGAAUGAAGGUCUUCGGAUUGUAAACCCCUGUCAUGUGGGAGCAAAUUAAAAAGAUAGUACCACAAGAGGAAGAGACGGCUAACUCUGUGCCAGCAGCCGCGGUAAUACAGAGGUCUCAAGCGUUGUUCGGAAUCACUGGGCGUAAAGCGUGCGUAGGCUGUUUCGUAAGUCGUGUGUGAAAGGCGCGGGCUCAACCCGCGGACGGCACAUGAUACUGCGAGACUAGAGUAAUGGAGGGGGAACCGGAAUUCUCGGUGUAGCAGUGAAAUGCGUAGAUAUCGAGAGGAACACUCGUGGUGAAGGCGGGUUCCUGGACAUUAACUGACGCUGAGGCACGAAGGCCAGGGGAGCGAAAGGGAUUAGAUACCCCUGUAGUCCUGGCAGUAAACGGUGCACGCUUGGUGUGCGGGGAAUCGACCCCCUGCGUGCCGGAACUAACGCGUUAAGCGUGCCGCCCUGGGGAGUACGGUCGCAAGAUUAAAACUCAAAGAAAUUGACGGGGACCCGCACAAGCGGUGGAGUAUGUGGCUUAAUUCGAUGCAACGCGAAGAGCCUUACCUGGGCUUGACAUGUAAUGAACAACAUGUGAAAGCAUGCGACUCUUCGGAGGCGUUACACAGGUGCUGCAUGGCCGUCGUCAGCUCGUGUCGUGAGAUGUUUGG